rnacentral:misc_RNA from 1 species
UUUCCGUAGGUGAACCUGCGGAAGGAUCAUUAUUGUAUAACCCCGGUGCGCGGGCUGUCUCUCACCCGAAAGCUCCUGCACGCCCGAGUGCCUUCACCCACGUCCCUCUCACCCCUAUGCCUACCACCGCGUGGCUCCCCCCUUCGCUUGUUCGGCGGGGGACUUACGUUUUCACUCAUUCUUUGUAUGCAGUGUUGAAUGUUUUUUUUGUUUUUGCUCUCCCGCAAUCAUUUCAACUUUCAACAACGGAUCUCUUGCCUCUCGCAUCGAUGACGAACC